GUAGUCCUGGCUGUAAACGAUGUCGACUUGGAGGUUGUGCCCUUGAGGCGUGGCUUCCGGAGCUAACGCGUUAAGUCGACCGCCUGGGGAGUACGGCCGCAAGGUUAAAACUCAAAUGAAUUGACGGGGGCCCGCACAAGCGGUGGAGCAUGUGGUUUAAUUCGAUGCAACGCGAAGAACCUUACCUGGUCUUGACAUCCACGGAAGUUUUCAGAGAUGAGAACGUGCCUUCGGGAACCGUGAGACAGGUGCUGCAUGGCUGUCGUCAGCUCGUGUUGUGAAAUGUUGGGUUAAGUCCCGCAACGAGCGCAACCCUUAUCCUUUGUUGCCAGCGGUCCGGCCGGGAACUCAAAGGAGACUGCCAGUGAUAAACUGGAGGAAGGUGGGGAUGACGUCAAGUCAUCAUGGCCCUUACGACCAGGGCUACACACGUGCUACAAUGGCGCAUACAAAGAGGAGCGACCUCGCGAGAGCAAGCGGACCUCGUAAAGUGCGUCGUAGUCCGGAUUGGAGUCUGCAACUCGACUCCAUGAAGUCGGAAUCGCUAGUAAUCGUGGAUCAGAAUGCCACGGUGAAUACGUUCCCGGGCCUUGUACACACCGCCCGUCACACCAUGGGAGUGGGUUGCAAAAGAAGUAGGUAGCUUAACCCUCGGGAGGGCGCUUACCACUUUGUGAUUCAUGACUGGGGUGAAGUCGUAACAAGGUAACCGUAGGGGAACCUGCGGCUGGAUCACCUCC
rnacentral:rRNA from 1 species